GUCCUUUGGACAAUGGUAGGAGAGCGUUCUAAGGGCGUCGAAGCAUGAUCGCAAGGACAUGUGGAGCGCUUAGAAGUGAGAAUGCCGGUGUGAGUAGCGAAAGACGGGUGAGAAUCCCGUCCACCGAUUGACUAAGGUUUCCAGAGGAAGGCUCGUCCGCUCUGGGUUAGUCGGGUCCUAAGCUGAGGCCGACAGGCGUAGGCGAUGGAUAACAGGUUGAUAUUCCUGUACCACCUAGUAUCGUUUUAAUCGAUGGGGGGACGCAGUAGGAUAGGCGAAGCGUGCUGUUGGAGUGCACGUCCAAGCAGUAAGGCUGAGUGUUAGGCAAAUCCGGCACUCAUAAGGCUGAGCUGUGAUGGGGAGAGGAAAUUGUUUCCUCGAGUCGCUGAUUUCACACUGCCGAGAAAAGCCUCUAGAUAGAUAACAGGUGCCCGUACCGCAAACCGACACAGGUAGUCAAGAUGAGAAUUCUAAGGUGAGCGAGCGAACUCUCGUUAAGGAACUCGGCAAAAUGACCCCGUAACUUCGGGAGAAGGGGUGCUCUUUAGGGUUCACGCCCAGAAGAGCCGCAGUGAAUAGGCCCAAGCGACUGUUUAUCAAAAACACAGGUCUCUGCUAAACCGUAAGGUGAUGUAUAGGGGCUGACGCCUGCCCGGUGCUGGAAGGUUAAGAGGAGUGGUUAGCUUCUGCGAAGCUACGAAUCAAAGCCCCAGUAAACGGCGGCCGUAACUAUAACGGUCCUAAGGUAGCGAAAUUCCUUGUCGGGUAAGUUCCGACCCGCACGAAAGGCGUAACGAUUUGGGCACUGUCUCAACGAGAGACUCGGUGAAAUCAUAGUACCUGUGAAGAUGCAGGUUACCCGCGACAGGACGGAAAGACCCCGUGGAGCUUUACUGUAGCCUGAUAUUGAAAUUCGGCACAGCUUGUACAGGAUAGGUAGGAGCCUUUGAAACGUGAGCGCUAGCUUACGUGGAGGCGUUGGUGGGAUACUACCCUAGCUGUGUUGGCUUUCUAACCCGCACCACUUAUCGUGGUGGGAGACAGUGUCAGGCGGGCAGUUUGACUGGGGCGGUCGCCUCCUAAAAGGUAACGGAGGCGCUCAAAGGUUCCCUCAGAAUGGUUGGAAAUCAUUCAUAGAGUGUAAAGGCAUAAGGGAGCUUGAC
rnacentral:rRNA from 1 species